rnacentral:tRNA from 1 species
GUCGUCCUGCACGACGCGGCCGACGCGGCGCCCCUGGCACGGGCGCUGGUCGCCGGCGGUCUUCCGGCGAUCGAGGUCACGC